rnacentral:rRNA from 1 species
GAUGAACGCUGGCGGCGUGCCUAAUACAUGCAAGUCGAGCGAACAGACGAGGAGCUUGCUCCUCUGACGUUAGCGGCGGACGGGUGAGUAACACGUGGAUAACCUACCUAUAAGACUGGGAUAACUUCGGGAAACCGGAGCUAAUACCGGAUAAUAUAUUGAACCGCAUGGUUCAAUAGUGAAAGACGGUUUUGCUGUCACUUAUAGAUGGAUCCGCGCCGCAUUAGCUAGUUGGUAAGGUAACGGCUUACCAAGGCAACGAUGCGUAGCCGACCUGAUAGGGUGAUCGGCCACACUGGAACUGAGACACGGUCCAGACUCCUACGGGAGGCAGCAGUAGGGAAUCUUCCGCAAUGGGCGAAAGCUUGACGGAGCAACGCCGCGUGAGUGAUGAAGGUCUUCGGAUCGUAAAACUCUGUUAUUAGGGAAGAACAAAUGUGUAAGUAACUAUGCACGUCUUGACGGUACCUAAUCAGAAAGCCACGGCUAACUACGUG